GCAACCUCCGCCUCCCGGGUUCAGCAAUUCUCCUGCCUCAGUCUCCCAAGCUGGAGUGCAAUGGUGCAAUCUCGGAUCACUGCAACCUCCGCCUCCUGAUUUCAAAGACAGGGUCUUGCUGUCUCCCAGGCUGCUGGAGUGCAAUGACGCCAUCAUGGCUCACUGCAGCCUCAACCUCCUGGGCUCAAGUGAUCCUCCCACCUCAUCCUCCCAAGCAGCUGGAACUACAGGUGCAUGCUACCACACAGCUAUUUUUUUUUUUAAGAGAUGGUCUUGCUAUGUUGUCCAGGCUGGUCUCAAACUCCUGGGCACAAGCAUUCCUCCCACUUUGACCUCCCAAAGUGCUGGGAUCACAGGCAUGAGCAACCGUGUCCAGCAUUAUUAUGCUUUUAUAAUUUCAGCAAAAAUAGUA